rnacentral:rRNA from 1 species
AUCCUACGGGAGCAGCAGUGGGGAAUAUUGCACAAUGGGCGCAAGCCUGAUGCAGCCAUGCCGCGUGUAUGAAGAAGGCCUUCGGGUUGUAAAGUACUUUCAGCAGUGAGGAAGUGGAUAUGUUAAUAGCAUAUUCAUUUGACGUUUAGCUGCAGAAGAAGCACCGGCUAACUCCGUGCCAGCAGCCGCGGUAAUACGGAGGGUGCGAGCGUUAAUCGGAAUUACUGGGCGUAAAGCGCAUGCAGGUGGUUUGUUAAGUCAGAUGUGAAAGCCCGGGGCUCAACCUCGGAAUUGCAUUUGAAACUGGCAAACUAGAGUACUGUAGAGGGGGUAGAAUUUCAGGUGUAGCGGUGAAAUGCGUAGAGAUCUGAAGGAAUACCGGUGGCGAAGGCGGCCCCCUGGACAGAUACUGACACUCAGAUGCGAAAGCGUGGGGAGCAAACAGGAUUAGAUACCCUGGUAG